rnacentral:rRNA from 1 species
GAUGAACGCUGGCGGCGUGCCUAAUACAUGCCAGUCGAGCGAACAGACGAGGAGCUUGCUCCUCUGACGUUAGCGGCGGACGGGUGAGUAACACGUGGAUAACCUACCUAUAAGACUGGGAUAACUUCGGGAAACCGGAGCUAAUACCGGAUAAUAUAUUGAACCGCAUGGUUCAAUAGUGAAAGACGGUUUUGCUGUCACUUAUAGAUGGAUCCGCGCCGCAUUAGCUAGUUGGUAAGGUAACGGCCUACCAAGGCAACGAUGCGUAGCCGACCUGAGAGGGUGAUCGGCCACACUGGAACUGAGACACGGUCCAGACUCCUACGGGAGGCAGCAGCAGGGAAUCUUCCGCAAUGGGCGAAAGCUUGACGGAGCAACGCCGCGUGAGUGAUGAAGGUCUUCGGAUCGUAAAACUCUGUUAUUAGGGAAGAACAAAUGUGUAAGUAACUAUGCACGUCUUGACGGUACCUAAUCAGAAAGCCACGGCUAACUACGUG